CAGCCGCCGCGGUAAUACAGAGGGUGCGAGCGUUAAUCGGAUUUACUGGGCGUAAAGCGUGCGUAGGCGGCUUUUUAAGUCGGAUGUGAAAUCCCUGAGCUUAACUUAGGAAUUGCGUUCGAUACUGGGAAGCUAGAGUAUGGGAGAGGAUGGUAGAAUUCCAGGUGUAGCGGUGAAAUGCGUAGAGAUCUGGAGGAAUACCGAUGGCGAAGGCAGCCAUCUGGCCUAAUACUGACGCUGAGGUACGAAAGCAUGGGGAGCAAACAGGAUUAGAUACCCCAGUAGUCCCUGUCUCUUAUAC
rnacentral:rRNA from 1 species